rnacentral:rRNA from 1 species
UUAAAUUGAAGAGUUUGAUCAUGGCUCAGAUUGAACGCUGGCGGCAGGCCUAACACAUGCAAGUCGAACGGUAACAGGAAACAGCUUGCUGUUUCGCUGACGAGUGGCGGACGGGUGAGUAAUGUCUGGGAAACUGCCUGAUGGAGGGGGAUAACUACUGGAAACGGUAGCUAAUACCGCAUAACGUCGCAAGACCAAAGAGGGGGACCUUCGGGCCUCUUGCCAUCGGAUGUGCCCAGAUGGGAUUAGCUAGUAGGUGGGGUAACGGCUCACCUAGGCGACGAUCCCUAGCUGGUCUGAGAGGAUGACCAGCCACACUGGAACUGAGACACGGUCCAGACUCCUACGGGAGGCAGCAGUGGGGAAUAUUG